rnacentral:lncRNA from 1 species
CAGUUUUGAAUGUCUUAACGUUUAUAAAUUUGGUUGAAAAUUUACAGAGAUGAUCAAGUCAUAUAUAUCUAGAUAUUGGCUGGUUAUGAUCGAAAAAAUAUGAUAAGCUCGGUGAAAACUCACGCCGUAUUCCAUGUGAUGUGAGUCAGUUGACUUCGAUUAGACCAGAUCGCCCCAGAGAGGACCCACGAGGGCACCACUGGAUGUUUUAUAUAAACUUACUAAAGAAGAAGUUGAGUAUAUCAUAGCUGACCGCACCAUGGGCUAGCCCAUACACCCACUGCACAAGCGGAAUACUACUUAGUCAAGUAGAAGGGCCAACCUGAGAGCGAGGCGGAACGGGAUGAAACUUACGAUUACGAUUCGAAGACCAAGUCAGAGACUACUGGACGUCUCGCAGUUUUGAAGAUAUGCUAAAGAGGGAGAAUGCGCUACAUCGGAUAUUGAUGAAACAGCUGUAGUGAAAGGCUAGUUAGGUACCGCAGGUAGAGCAUCUUUCAACAUUUCGGAGAACCACUUUAUAUUGGCACCUUGGCCAGGUAGAUCCGUCCCACUCUCCGGAACCUCACCUCUGCUUUUUUGGAGUACGGGAUGACUCGGAUGUUUAGUCAACCAAAAUGUAUAUUCUUUAUUGGAGUCCAUAUUAUUGAUGCGAUAGUUUGAGUUUUGUUCUUGUCGGUGUCAUAUUUCUGUGUUUAUUUCAUCAAUAAACCAAGGUAUCAAUUAGGAUAAAUUAACCUACUAGAAAUUAGUUGAUGAUGUCCUAAUUAAAACACUAGCCGAAAGGCCGAUCUUGAAUAAUUCCUCACAAUCCCACACUUGCUUAAAUAUCUAACCCUACCAGGCUACUAAAUAUAAGC